ACGAACCGUGCGAACGUUAUUCGGAAUCACUGGGCUUAAAGCGCGUGUAGGCGGGUGACCGCGUCGGUCGCUGAAAGCCCCCGGCUCAACCGGGGGACGGGCGCCGAAACGGGUCGCCUGGAGGGGCGUAGGGGGACCUGGAACUUCCGGUGGAGCGGUGAAAUGCGUUGAGAUCGGAAGGAACGCCCGUGGCGAAAGCGAGGUCCUGGACGCCAUCUGACGCUGAGACGCGAAAGCCAGGGGAGCGAACGGGA
rnacentral:rRNA from 1 species